rnacentral:rRNA from 1 species
UACGUAGGGUCCGAGCGUUGUCCGGAAUUAUUGGGCGUAAAGGGCUCGUAGGCGGUUUGUCGCGUCGGGGAGUGAAAACACGGGGCUUAACCCCGUGCCUGCUUCCGAUACGGGCAGACUAGAGGUAUGCAGGGGAGAACGGAAUUCCUGGUGUAGCGGUGAAAUGCGCAGAUAUCAGGAGGAACACCGGUGGCGAAGGCGGGUCUCUGGGCCGAUACUGACGCUGAGGAGCGAAAGCGUGGGGAGCAAACAGG